rnacentral:misc_RNA from 1 species
GUGAAUCAUCGAAUCUUUGAACGCAUCUUGCGCUCCUUGGUAUUCCGAGGAGCAUGCCUGUUUGAGUGUCGUGUAAUACCUCAAUUUCAACUCUUUUGUUUUGAAAUUGGAUGUUGGGUGUUGUUGUGUGUCACAGCUCAUCCUAAAUGCAUUAGCGAUCUGUCUUUUGAUCACGCAAUGUGAUAAGAAAACAAAGCAUUGUUAAGAUCGGGUCGGGGUUGCUUCCAACCGUCGAAAGACAAAUAUGUGUCAAUUUGACCUCAGAUCAGGCAGGACUACCCGCUGAACUUAAGCAUAUCAAUAAGCGGAGGA